AUGAUAAAGUACUAUUCCCAAAGUGACUUAUGGAAGAAAGAAUUUAUUUUGGGAUUAUGGGUCCAGAGGGAUAAAGAGUCCAUCAUGGCUGGGAAGCAUAGCAGCAUCAGGCAUGGCAGCUGGGGCGGGAAGUGGAGAGGUCACAUCCUAGCCAUAAGCAUGAAGCUGAGAGAGCAUUGUGGAAGCCCAGCAAGGCCUUCAGCUCUCAAAGCCUUCCCCCAGUGACGUGCGUCCCCCAGAAAGACCAUGCUUCUUCAGCCUCCCCAAACAGUGCUGCCAACUGGGGACCAAGAAUUCAAAUAUUGGAGCCUAUGAGGUACAUUUCUCUCUCUUUUUUUUCUUUUUAUGGGCUCUGUCUGCAUAUACACCUCAAUGCCAGAAGAGGGCACCAGAUCCCAUUCUAGGUGGCUGUGAGCCACCGUGUGGUUACUGGGAAUUGAACUUAGGACCUCUGUAAGAGCAGCCAGUGCUCUUAACCUCUGAGCCAUCUCUCUAGCUUGACAUUGCUUAUUAAAACAAGCAUAGUCGGUCAGGUUUAUUCCAUGGUAUUUUGUUAAUUUAAAUUUAAGGAUAUUGUGAAGGUAUGUAUGCCUUUUGAUUUUGUAACCUGCCACCUUGCUGAAAGUGUUUAUCAGGUUUAGGGGAGUCUUCAGGGUCUUUCAGUUACAGAAAAAAUAUAUGCAAAUAGGAACACUUUCAGUUCAUUCUUUUGUCUUAAUGCUCUAGCUAGUCCUUGAAGCACUGUAUAGAAUUGGAGUGGGGAGCAUAGAUACCCUUGUUUUGUUCUGAUAUCAGUGGAACUUACUUCAACGUUCAUCCAUUUGGCUUUAUGAUGAAUAACAUAUUAUAUUGAGAUACAUUCCCUUCAUGCUAGUCUCUCCAGGGUUUUUAUCAUGAAUAGGUGUUAGUUUUUGUCAAAGAUCUUUUCUGUAUCAAUUGAAAACAUCAUGUAUAUGUAUACAUAAAUGCUAAUAUGUACUUUAUGUACUUUAAGGUUAAUACAACAUCAAAUGAGCCACAGUUAACUUUUCAAAUAUACUUUGAUGUUAUUUGUUCUCCCCAGUUCUUCCUGCUCCUUCCCCAGUUAAAACUCCACUCCUUGCUUUUCCUAUUUCCCUUUUCAUAUCCCUCCUACCCUACCAUUCCUCUCUCUAGUGAUCGUCCCCUACCACACGGUCCUUUUUUAAAUCCCUGGUUACUACAAUUACUCAAAGUUACAUAUUUACAUCUGAAGAUCUGGAGCUAGAAACCACAGAUGACAGAGGCAACAUGCAGUGUGUGUCAUUCUGGUGUGAGUUACUCCACUCAAUAUAAUAUUCUAUAGUUCCAUUUACCUGCAAAUUUUAUGUUUUAAUCUUUUAUCACAUACAGUGUUUACAGCUUUAUCCUGUCAGGAUGGGAGAAGCCUAAGUCUGGAAGUCCAUUAAACAGAGGCUGACUUGGGUACUCUGUAGGGCCCUUAGUGGUCCUUCUUUCCCCUACUAGUCCUGUCUAGAUACCUGCCCCUGUACCUGUACUGUUUCUCCUUACAGAGUCUUCUGGGACCGAAAAGCAGCCAUUUCGUAGAGCCUGCUUUUGCUUUCCUUGUUUACCUAUGCCCUUCUAGCUCUGCCUAAUACCCUGUGGUAGUUUGACGAAGAAUGGCCCCCAUAAGCUCAUAUAUUUGAAUGCUUAAUCACUAGGGAGUGACAGUAUUCAAAAAUAUUCUAAGAAUUGGGAAGAGUGACCUUGUUGGAGGAAGUGUGUCACUGGGGGUAGGCGUUCCAGUUUCAAAAACCCAUGUCAGGUCCAGUGUGCCUCUUUCUCCCUACAGAUAAGGAUAUUGCUCUCAGAUACUGUUCCAGUGCCUGGUGGCAUGCUGUCCUGCUCCUUGCCAUGGUGAUAAUGACUAAAUCUCUGCAAGCUCCCAAUUAAAUGCUUUCUCUCUUAAGAGUUGCCGAGGUCAUGGUGUCUCUUCAUGGCAAUAGAACAGUGACUAAGACACAUCCUCUCUCAGAGAUUGAUGCUGACUGCUGAUGGAGGAUAAAUAUAGCUCUCACCCCUCAUCAAAGAAGGUUCAUUUUGGAAAAGACAAGAGACAAUUACAGAAAACUACAUCUGGUCGAAAUGCAGAGAACAACUGAUUGUAGGGUUCGUGGGACAUCAUAGAGGGGAUGGAAUGGUUUCAAAAACCAGAAGACUGGUAAGUUUGCUAUGAGAUUGUGUCUACUAGACGUGACACUGAAGCUACACCCAUGAUGCCUCAAAAACAUGGCAAAAUGGACGUAGAUAAUGACCACACCAAUGGGCAUGCUUACUUUGAAGGGAGAAAUCUUUUUUUUUCUUUUUUUGGCUUUUCGAGACAGGGUUUCUCUGUAUUGUUUUGGAGGCUGUCGGUCCAGCCCAGCCUCAAACUCACAGAGAUCCGCCUGCCUCUGCCUCCCGAGUGCUGGGAUUAAAGGCGUGCGCCACCACCGCCCGGCCUGAAGGGAGAAAUAUUAAGGGACUUAAAGAACUACAGGCAACUAAUGAAUGCUAAAAAAAGGGAGAAUUAGUCUCCUAGGAAUGAACCUCUAAGAAAUUUGUUAUCCACAAGGUGUCAACCCUGAAAAUCAUAUACAUACAAGUAACAUUAAAUAGACUCAGAAGAUUGUAUUUAUGUAUUUAUGUAUGUACUCUUACAUAUGUAUAUGAAAGAAUAAUAAGAGAGAGAGUUGGGGCAGACAUGAGAGAGGCUAGAGAGAGUAGGAAGAAAUGAUGUAAUUAUAUUUUAGAUUUUUAAAAUUGUAAAAAAAAAAAGAAAAAAGCAUGUCAGAGAGGUGAAGCUCAUCUCACCCCUUAUCUCUUGCAUUAUUUUUGGUCUUCCUUAGGGGUGAAAUGGCUCAGAAGUUAAGAGUACUUGCUGUUCUUGGACAGGACCCCAGCGAUUCUAUGGUGGAUCUAAGUAGUUCUUUAUAUGCCUAUAUAUUGAGAGCUUGUGUAGUUACUGAUGUCUAUAAAGUUUUGUGUGUGAAGUUUACAUAAAAGGAACUAAGUAGGAAAGAUGAGACAGAAUUCAGAUGAAUAUAUCUUAAGCAGUCUCAAUGAUUAAACUGCCUGUUUCCUUCCCAUCCCGCCCACCUCCCUUCCUUCCUCUGUUUUCCCCUUUUCGCCCAUACCUUUCCUCCCGUUCUCAAUUUCUUCCUGCCUUACUCUUUCCUUAGAGAUGUGAAAUUAGUCGUGUGGUUGUUCACCUGUUUUCUUUAUUACUAUCCUCUUGCCUAAAAGAUUUCUUGUGCCAAAGGAAUACUUCUGUGCCAAGUCCCUGUCACCUAAGAAUCCCUGCGACCUAAGAAAAGGCACUGCAGCCAGAGAGAAGUGUGCUGAAAUGUUUGCAUAUGGUGAGUAUUCUGGUGUGUACUCACGAGGGACUGGCUGGCCUUGGACAGGAUCCUGUUGCAUUCUCCCAGGGGUUAGGUGGGUAUCUUGACUGUCUCGAGAGCGUGUUGGAAUCAGGAAAGGAGUGAACAUCAGUCUCUGCAAGGCUCAGAGAAUCUCAUGGAGAUUGCGCCUACUGAAAGGAGAUGUGCUCUACAGUGACUGCUUAUCAUUGCUCUCCUUGCCAACAUGGACAUAGUAAUUUGGAGAUGGGGUCCUUCAUAGCUGUUGAGUGGGAUACUUUCUUAUGUUUGAGGUGAGCAAGGACAUGUCUUUGAUCUACUAUACAAUAGCCCAUCGAGCAGCAUGUGGCAGGUGUGGAGUUCAAGGUCAGGGCUUGGCUUUCUUAAGCUGUGUAACUGUCCUCAUCCCAUAUGUGGGGGAGGAGUCAGGUCACUAUGGGGAAGCAGAUGUCCAGAACAUAGGGUUUGCUGACCUGUUUGGGCAGUUGAAAGUGCUGCGUUAUUGUUGAAAUGAAUGGUGACUUUGGGGCAGCAGAGUGUGGCUUUCUGUCUGCUUUCAGCCCUCUUUCCCACAGUAUACUGUAACAGCAAAAGAAGAAAGGUAAUAUUUGUCUUUCCCAUGGGACAGAUUGGGAGCAAUAGAAGUAUAAUAGUCUAAAACAUAUUAGAAGACACUUUCUAAGAGCAAUUUUAGGUUAUUCUUAAAGAUACUCAUUAGGAAAUUCAUUGGCAUACAUUUCUAUUUGACUUCUUUUGCUGCUGUUAAGAAAAAUGUCUAGCAACAGGUAUGCAAUGAUGUCAAAGAGAAACCCUUUCAGUAUUACCAAAGCGAAGUCAAAGAAAUGUUCUCCUUCACCUAGAGCUUCUUUAUUCCCAUUAGGAUGGUCCACCCUAGAGUAACAUAGCAUCAAACAGACAGUUCCUUAGCGUCAGGGAUUUUGUGCUCUGGUGUGUGUGUGUGUGUGUGUGUGUGUGUGUGUGUGUGUGUGUGUGUGUGUGUGUGUUGUGUGUGUAUGUCUGUGUCUGAGUCUGUGUCUGUAUACAAUUAAUGGGAGUUUUAUACAUGUAUACAAUGAGAGAUGAUUAUAUGUAAAUCCAGUUUCUUUUUCUAAUUUCUGUCAUGUUUCCCCAGGAUGCCCCUUCUUAACUUCAUGUCUGGUUUUUGUAACCCUCUCAGCCCAAUUAUUGCUUCCCAUAGGAAUCCUAUAAGUAAAAAAAAAAACAAAACAGUGGUUCUCCCUGUCCCUGCAGCUAUCAGCUGCCAAUAGCUUUUCUUCUUUAAGGGGUGAAUCCAGAAGAACAUCCCUCUCUGAGUUUGGGCUGGGUUGAUCUUUUGCAGGUACACAUAGCUUCUGUCAAUUUGUGACUGUGGUCACCAUGUCAUGUCCAGAAGGCAGCAUCUUUUUGCAGUGAUAGCAGUCAAUGCAGAGAUGCAAGGUUGGUCAGAAUGCCAAGAAUAAGAGAGUAUGUGGGAUUUACAGAGAGGUGGUGAGAUGCAGUUUGGGUGAGUACAAUCCGUAACCAAUGAUGAUGGUCCUGGUGAGAACGGUAAGAGACGUUUACCAUAGUGCAUACUUGUAUGUAGUCGGCUCCUCGGGCAGUUUACACAUGUGUGUGUGUGUGUGUGUGUGUUCCCCCUUCCCCCUUUGUUUGUAAUAACAAUUAACAACAACAACAACAAGAAAAACCAAGCCAUGAAUUUGAAAGAGAGUAAAUAGGGGUAUAUGGGAAGGUUUGAAGGGAGGAAAGGGAAUGGAGAAGUGUUUUAGUUAUAUUGUAACCUCAAAUAUAAAAGGAAAAGGAAAAUUAACAACAGUGAAUUAACUUAAGAUACUAAAAGGUGAACAGAUAAAGAAAGCAGGCUGGGCAAGCCCUGAGGAGCAGCACUCUUCCAUGUUCUCUUUUUAGUUCCUGCCUCCAGGUCGCUGCCCUGACUUCCCUAGAAGAUGGACUACAAACUGUAAAAAGAGGUAAACCCUCUCCUCCAAAGUCGGUUUGGUCAUGGUGUUUUAUUACAGCAGUGCACACCGUGAGAUUUCAGCCUGCAUGGGACCUUCCAGAACUAUGAACACCAGCCAGCAGAGUGGAAGCUUCCAGCUUACUUUUAUUGUGAUUUCUUUAUAUGCUGUGUCCAAAGUCUGGUUUCUUCAGUAACAUAGUCUUACCAUCUAGUUCCGGUGGGUGACCUGCCAAUGGCAGUUUUGGGAGCCUCCAGCCAACAACUCAGAAGGAAAUAGCCCACAA